CUAAAUUCAUCAACAUAUCAUCAAACAAACCCUAAUAUCUUUCUCGGGCUUAAAAAAUUAAGUAAUGGCAACCAAUUCUCUCAAAACUCUUUUGGUGACUCUGUUGGUCUGUGCACUAGUAAUGUCUCCGAUGAUGCCCAUUGAAGCAUCUCCUCUUAAUCAUCGUCGAGGUAUAUCCUAUAUCAUUACUUAUUGCAUGUCAUCAAUGGCUGUAUAUUUUAAAUAUAUUUACGGUUGUUUUAAUAUGAAUCCUAAUGUUGCAGAGCUCCGUAGAUUACCACCAAAUUGUGACCCUGGCUAUUAUCUUGUAUGCAAGCCCAACAAUGAAUGCAAGUGUUGUGAAGAAGGCACGCCUCCUAGCAAUUGCUGAAAAUCAAAUUAUUAUGAAUAAAUGAGUAUUUCAAUAAGAAUAUAAAUUAGAAGACUGUCUCUCUUUAUAUAUUUAUUUAUAACUUGUAUGAGCUACUCAAAUAUGUUUAGCUAUCAUAUCUUAAUAAAAGAGUACCUCCCUUAAUAUAUUUAUUUAUGUUUGAAAACAAAG
rnacentral:lncRNA from 1 species